rnacentral:tRNA from 1 species
GGUGGCUCAGUGGUAGAGUGCUUGCCUCGUAUGUAUGAGGUCCUGGGUUCAAUUCCUCAGCACCA